AAACCGUUGUGUAGGCAAACGUCGAUGGUGGUUCGUCGGAUGAUAAUUUCUUGCGUGUUUCUUCGUGUUAUGCGUAUACUUAGUUGUGGUAAGAUUGUAAUUUUGAAAUAACUAGUUAUCUUGGUGGUCUGUAUACGCAUGGAGGUUGGAGCUUGCUUGGUGCUGCGUCUUCAGUGAGCUGUUGGUGAUAGUCAUCCGAGGUGUUGAAGCUCUCGCUGGAAAGUCUUCAGCGUCCUGGCGUAUUAAGAUAAUUACUUCUACGCAUCUCUACGCAUCUCAAAUGGGUAGUAAAGAAGAUAGGAGCAAAUGGUUAAUCAUUUGGUUGGGGAACUAGGAAGUGACUCCUCCAGCAUUUGGCGGUUUUUACUGUGCUUUUGUACCUUGGCUCUCCGGUGCUUCAGAUAUCCCGAAAACUAGCACUACAGCUUUCCCGAAGAAAGAUGCCUCGGAAGAACUGUCGAUUUGAAAGAACCAGAUUGUAACCUAAAUUUUAAACUUAUUAAUUUCCUGCAAUUGAAGGUGUUCUAGGAUGUCCUUUACAAAAGCAGAUUUACCGCUAUAGUAGAUUACGGUUCCUCGAAGUGACUGAACAUUAAAUUUGGUUAUCCCAUAGGAUUCCCGUAUUUAACCUUUUUUAAACUUCAAAGGUAACUUAUUCAGAUUUUCAAUUUAAUUUGGUUUUUAAGUUAUUGUGGUCUUAAAAUAAAAUAAAUUUUAUAUUUAAUA